rnacentral:rRNA from 1 species
GAUGAACGCUAGCGGCAGGCUUAAUACAUGCAAGUCGAGGGGCAGCAGGGGUGUAGCAAUACACUCGCUGGCGACCGGCAAACGGGUGCGGAACACGUACGCAACCUACCCAAAACUGGGGAAUAGCCCGGGGAAACCCGGAUUAAUACCUCGUAACACUAUGGAGUGGCAUCACUUUAUAGUUAUAGCUCCGGCGGUUUUGGAUGGGCGUGCGCCUGAUUAGGUAGUUGGCGGGGUAACGGCCCACCAAGCCUGCGAUCAGUAACUGGUGUGAGAGCACGACCAGUCACACGGGCACUGAGACACGGGCCCGACUCCUACGGGAGGCAGCAGUAAGGAAUAUUGGUCAAUGGACGCAAGUCUGAACCAGCCAUGCCGCGUGAAGGAUGAAGGUCCUCUGGAUUGUAAACUUCUUCUAUAGGGGAAGAAACCCUCGCUUUCCAGCGGGGUUGACGGUACCCUAGGAAUAAGCACCGGCUAACUCCGUGCCAGCCGCCGCAGUAAUAC